GACGAACGCUGGCGGCGUGCCUCAAACAUGCAAGUCGAGCGGGGAACUUUUAAAAGCGCAAGCUUUUAAAAGUUCCUAGCGGCGAACGGGUGAGUAACACGUGGGCAACCUACCCAGAAGACCGGGAUAACGGCUCGAAAGGGCCGCUAAUACCGGAUAAUGUCGGGGUACCGCAUGGUACUCCGAAGAAAGGGGAAACCCGCUUUUGGAUGGGCCCGCGUCCCAUCAGCUAGUUGGUGAGGUAACGGCUCACCAAGGCGACGACGGGUAGCCGGUCUGAGAGGAUGGUCGGCCACACUGGGACUGAGACACGGCCCAGACUCCUACGGGAGGCAGCAGUUGGGAAUCUUGGGCAAUGGGCGAAAGCCUGACCCAGCGACGCCGCGUGAGGGAAGAAGGCCUUCGGGUCGUAAACCUCUGUCAUGGGGGAAGAAGCAAGUGACGGUACCCAGAGGAGCCCCUGCUAACUACGUGCCAGCAGCCGCGGUAAUGUACUCUAU
rnacentral:rRNA from 1 species